CGUCGGUCCGCACGCCGCGGGUCCGGUCCGUCCGGUCGCCUCGCCGGCGCGCGGACGCGCGCGCCGCGUACGCGCGGCAGGCGCGAGGUGCCCCGGGCGGCUUCGGUCCCGCGCGGGCGGUCCGAGCCUCGCGGCUCCUCCCGGGUGCAGCUGCCGCCCGGCGCCGGGUUGCCGAGGGAAACCCCGGGCCCCGGGAGGAACGCGAGGUGGUGGCGGCGGACGUCGGGCGCGCCCCCGCGGGCGGACGCUCCCCCGAGGGGCGCCGGGGCCGGCUGGCGGGUGCCGGGUCUCCCCUCGGCGCCCCGUCCCGCCCCGCCGAGCGGGGCGGGCGGGGGAGGCACCCCCGCGGGGCCUUCGGGUCGUUUCCCUCACCCCAGGGCCAGGUACCUAGCGUCCGCGCCUCCGCGCGUCCGGGGGGCGGGGAGGAAGGAGCGCGGCGCCGGUCCCGAGCGGGCCGCGUCGCCCACACCCCCCUCCUCCCCCCGGGCCGCGGAGCCGGGCGGAGGUUUAAAGACUCGGGCGGUCCGCUGCGCGCGCCGCGAGGUCGGGGGCCGGGGGCGGUCUUCUGCCC
rnacentral:lncRNA from 1 species